GCCAGGUGCCGUGGCGCACACCUGUCAUCCCAGCGGCUCAGGAGGCUGAGACAGGAGGAUCACGAGUUCAAAGCCAGCCUCAGCAACAGUGAGGUGCUGAGGAACUCAGUGAGACCCUGUCUCUA
rnacentral:sRNA from 1 species